rnacentral:rRNA from 1 species
CACGGGAGGCAGCAGUGGGGAAUAUUGGACAAUGGGCGAAAGCCUGAUCCAGCCAUGCCGCGUGUGUGAAGAAGGCCUUCGGGUUGUAAAGCACUUUCAGUGGGGAAGAAAGCCUUGGGGCUAAUACCCUCGAGGAAGGACAUCACCCACAGAAGAAGCACCGGCUAACUCCGUGCCAGCAGCCGCGGUAAUACGGAGGGUGCGAGCGUUAAUCGGAAUUACUGGGCGUAAAGCGCGCGUAGGCGGUCUGAUAAGCCGGUUGUGAAAGCCCCGGGCUCAACCUGGGAACGGCAUCCGGAACUGUCAGGCUAGAGUGCAGGAGAGGAAGGUAGAAUUCCCGGUGUAGCGGUGAAAUGCGUAGAGAUCGGGAGGAAUACCAGUGGCGAAGGCGGCCUUCUGGACUGACACUGACGCUGAGGUGCGAAAGCGUGGGUAGCAAACAGGAUUAGAUACCCCUGUAGUC